GGGGUUGUGGCUCAGCGGUAGAGCGCUUGCCUAACACGAUCAAGGGCCUGGGUUUGAUCCUCAGCACCCCA
rnacentral:tRNA from 2 species